UACGAAGGGGGCUAGCGUUGCUCGGAAUCACUGGGCGUAAAGCGCACGUAGGCGGUUUGCUAAGUCAGGGGUGAAAUCCUGGAGCUCAACUCCAGAACUGCCUUUGAUACUGGCGGACUUGAGUCCGGGAGAGGUGAGUGGAACUGCGAGUGUAGAGGUGAAAUUCGUAGAUAUUCGCAAGAACACCAGUGGCGAAGGCGGCUCACUGGCCCGGUACUGACGCUGAGGAGCGAAAGCGUGGGGAGCGAACAGG
rnacentral:rRNA from 1 species